GCCCCUGUAGACCAACCGGCAGAGUCACGGUGCUCAAACCACCGCCAGUGUGGGUUCGAAUCCCACCGGGGGCA
rnacentral:tRNA from 1 species